UACAGAGGGCAAGCGUUAUUCGGAAUUAUUGGGCGUAAAGGGCGCGUAGGCGGCAUCGCAAGUGGAAGGUGAAGUCCCUCGGCUCAACCGAGGAACUGCCUUUCAAACUGCUUGGCUUGAGUCCGGGAGAGGUGAGUGGAAUUCCCAGUGUAGCGGUGAAAUGCGUAGAUAUUGGGAGGAACACCAGUGGCGAAGGCGGCUCACUGGACCGGAACUGACGCUGAGGCGCGAAAGCGUGGGGAGCAAACGGG
rnacentral:rRNA from 1 species